rnacentral:rRNA from 1 species
CGGCGGACGGGUGAGUAACGCGUGGGUAACCUGCCUCAUACAGGGGGAUAACAGUUAGAAAUGACUGCUAAUACCGCAUAAGACCACAGCACCGCAUGGUGCAGGGGUAAAAACUCCGGUGGUAUGAGAUGGACCCGCGUCUGAUUAGCUAGUUGGUAAGGUAACGGCUUACCAAGGCGACGAUCAGUAGCCGACCUGAGAGGGUGACCGGCCACAUUGGGACUGAGAUACGGCCCAA